rnacentral:rRNA from 1 species
UUGCGUGUGUUUUACCAUGCAAGUCGAACGAUGAAGCCCUUCGGGGUGGAUUAGUGGCGAACGGGUGAGUAACACGUGGGCAAUCUGCCCUUCACUCUGGGACAAGCCCUGGAAACGGGGUCUAAUACCGGAUAUCACUCCCGCAGGCAUCUGUGGGGGUUGAAAGCUCCGGCGGUGAAGGAUGAGCCCGCGGCCUAUCAGCUUGUUGGUGAGGUAACGGCUCACCAAGGCGACGACGGGUAGCCGGCCUGAGAGGGCGACCGGCCACACUGGGACUGAGACACGGCCCAGACUCCUACGGGAGGCAGCAGUGGGGAAUAUUGCACAAUGGGCGAAAGCCUGAUGCAGCGACGCCGCGUGAGGGAUGACGGCCUUCGGGUUGUAAACCUCUUUCAGCAGGGWAGAAGCGAGGAGUGACGKUACYUGCAGAAAGAAGCGCCGGCUAACUACGUGCCAGCAGCCGCGGUAAUACGUAGGGCGCAAGCGUUGUCCGGAAUUAUUGGGCGUAAAAGAGCUCGUAGGCGGCUUGUCACGUCGGGUGUGAAAGCCCGGGGCUUAACCCCGGGUCUGCAUUCGAUACGGGCUAGCUAGAGUGUGGUAGGGGAGAUCGGAAUUCCUGGUGUAGCGGUGAAAUGCGCAGAUAUCAGGAGGAACACCGGUGGCGAAGGCGGAUCUCUGGGCCAUUACUGACGCUGAGGAGCGAAAGCGUGGGGAGCGAACAGGAUUAGAUACCCUGGUAGUCCACGCCGUAAACGGUGGGAACUAKGUGUUGGCGACAUUCCACGUCGUCKGUGCCGCAKCUAACGCAUUAAGUUCCCCGCCUGGGGAGUACGGCCGCAAGGCUAAAACUCAAAGGAAUUGACGGGGGCCCGCACAAGCAGCGGAGCAUGUGGUCUUAAUUCGACGCAACGCGAAGAACCUUUACCAAGGCUUGACAUACGCCGGAAAACCCUGGAGACAGGGUCCCCCUUGUGGUCGGUGUACAGGUGGUUGCAUUGGCUGUCGUCAGCUCGUGUCGUGAGAAUGUUGGGGUUAAGUUCCCGCAACGAGCGCAACCCUUGUUCUGUGUUGCCAGCAUGCCCUUCGGGGUGAUGGGGACUCACAGGAGACCGCCGGGGUCAACUCGGAGGAAGGUGGGGACGACGUCAAGUCAUCAUGCCCCUUAUGUCUUGGGCUGCACACGUGCUACAAUGGCCGGUACAAUGAGCUGCGAUACCGUGAGGUGGAGCGAAUCUCAAAAAGCCGGUCUCAGUUCGGAUUGGGGUCUGCAACUCGACCCCAUGAAGUCGGAGUUGCUAGUAAUCGCAGAUCAGCAUUGCUGCGGUGAAUACGUUCCCGGGCCUUGUACACACCGCCCGUCACGUCACGAAAGUUGGUAACACCCGAAGCCGGUGGCCCAACCCCUUGUGGGAGGGAGCUUUCGAAAAGU